CAGUAGCCGCGGGAAUACGAAGGGGGCUAGCGUUGUUCGGAUUUACUGGGCGUAAAGCGCACGUAGGCGGACUUUUAAGUCAGGGGUGAAAUCCCGGGGCUCAACCCCGGAACUGCCUUUGAUACUGGAAGUCUUGAGUAUGGUAGAGGUGAGUGGAAUUCCGAGUGUAGAGGUGAAAUUCGUAGAUAUUCGGAAGAACACCAGUGGCGAAGGCGGCUCACUGGACGACUGUUGACGCUGAGGUACGAAAGCGUGGGGAGCAAACAGGAUUAGAUACCCCAGUAGUCCCUGUCUCUUAUAC
rnacentral:rRNA from 1 species